UCUCUCAAGUUUCCCUUUUUAUUUUCUUACCAUGUGGUUCUGGUUCCAAUCCAACUACAGAUUAUUCUACAAUAUUUUAUUAUGAUGCAACUUUGCAAAUGAAUUUCCAUCUAAAUUUAAAAUAGUUUAGGUAUAAAUACGAGUUGAUAAUACGAGAAAGAAUCAUAUUUGAAUCAGUUAUCAUUCAAGUUAGUAAUAAUCAAAUUACAAAUAAAAAUCUAAUCAUGAAGGCUUUCAUUUUCUUCGUUCUCUUCUGCUUGGCUGUAGCCUCAGCAUCAGUUAUUGGACCAAUUGCUGUUGGUGGUGUUGCUGUUUCAUCAUUAGGUGUCCCAUUGGCUGCUCCUGGUGUUGUUGUCGGUGGUCUUGGUGUUCCCGGAUUGAUUGCUCCAGGAUUAGUCGGGGGAUUAAGAGUUAUUGGAUAAAUAAUGAUUUUGGCCCCAAAGAAAAAGAGAAUACAAUUUUUUGUAAAGAAUUUCGUGACAAUAUAACAUUAUAAAACUAAAAUUA